rnacentral:rRNA from 1 species
GCGCAGCAGGCAAGAAACCUCCGCAAUACACGAAAGUGUGACGGGGCCAUCCCGAGUGCCGUCCGCUGAGGACGGCUUUUCCCCAGUGUACAUAGCUGGGGGAAUAAGGAGAGGGCAAGCCUGGUGUCAGCCGCCGCGGUAAUACCAGCUCUCCGAGUGGUGGGGACGCUUAUUGGGCCUAAAGCAUCCGUAGCCGGCUAGGCAAGUCCUCCGUUAAAUCCAACGAUUCAAUCGUUGGGCUGCGGGGAUACUGUCCAGCUUGGGGGCGGGAGAGGCCGACGGUAUUCCCCGGGGUAGGGGUGAAAUCCGUAUAAUCCCCGGGGAGGACCACC